AUGCUCCGGACCAUCUCGAAGCUCCGGGAGGCGGCGGCGCCGCUCGCCUCCGCCGCCGUCCGGCGAUGCUCCGGCGGGCCCCGGAUCCACGCCGACGCCAAUUGCCCGCGCUGCACCGCGCACAUCUCCGUCCAGUUCUCCCUGCAGCCCCUCCCGCCGGCAGCCGCCUCCGGCGCCGAGGGCGCGGGCGCCCACCCGCACCACCACGACGGCGCCACCGUCUGCCCCACGUGCCGCGGGGCCUUCCUAUUCCGCGCCCACCGGAUCGACCCCAUGCGGGGCGCGUUCCUCGAGAUCCCCGGCGGCGUCGCGGGCGACGACGGCGAGGACGCGCCCAGGGGCGACCUCUCCCGGAUCAAGAGGUGGAUUGCGGAGCGCCCGCCGGACGACUGGCCUCCCAUGCCGCCGCAGGCUCCCCCGAUGCAGAUGCCGCCGCAGGUCCCCCCCACGCGACGUAAGCAGGGGAGGAGGAGAGGGAGGGAGGAAGGGGGCGGCGGCGGCGGCGGUGGCGGUGGCGGCAACGGUAACGGAGGGGACUCCUCGGGCGGGGAGGGAACGAGCGCGGCGCCCAAGAGGGAGUGGUGGGGAGGCGCCACCCUGGGGGAGGAGCUCCCGACGCCGCGGGAGAUGUGCCGGAGACUCGAUGAGUUCGUCAUUGGGCAGGGCAAGGCUAAAAAGGUUCUAUCAGUGGCCGUAUACAACCACUACAAGAGAGUAUAUAACGCAACUGUACAGAAAGGAUCUGCGGACAAUUCUGGGUGUCCAGACGCUGCAAAUGAUGAUCACGAUAAUGUAGAGAUAGAUAAAAGCAAUGUACUUCUGAUGGGUCCAACUGGCUCAGGAAAAACAUUGCUUGCAAAAACAUUAGCACGCAUUGUAAAUGUACCAUUCGUUAUAGCUGAUGCGACAUCAUUAACACAGGCUGGAUAUGUAGGUGAAGAUGUAGAGUCGAUACUGCAGAAGUUACUGGUGGAGGCCGAAUAUAAUGUUCAAGCUGCCCAGCAAGGGAUAGUGUACAUAGAUGAAGUAGAUAAAAUAACAAAGAAGGCAGAGAGUGCAAAUGUUAGUAGAGAUGUAUCUGGUGAAGGUGUUCAACAGGCUUUGUUAAAAAUCCUAGAAGGAACUGUUGUCACCAUUCCUGAAAAGGGAUCUCGCAAAAAUUCUCGCAAUGAUAGUAUACAGAUAGACACCAAAGACAUUCUUUUCAUAUGUGGUGGUGCUUUUGUAGAUUUGGAGAAGACUAUUUCUGAAAGACGACAAGAUUCAUCUAUAGGAUUUGGGGCACCCAUUCGUACAAACAUGAGAAGUUCAGGAGUGACCAGUCCAACGGUCACGUCAUCUUUGUUAGAAUCUGUUGAGAGUGGAGAUCUUGCAAAGUUUGGGCUAAUACCAGAGUUCAUUGGACGCUUGCCCAUUCUAGUUAGUUUGGCAGCUCUCGAUGAAGAUCAGCUUGUCCAGGUUCUUACAGAACCAAAGAAUUCACUUUCGAGACAAUACAGGAAAAUGUUUAGCCUGAACAAUGUUAAGCUGCACUUUACUGAUGGUGCACUGAGAAUAGUAGCAAAGAAGGCCAUAGUCAAAAACACUGGUGCACGUGGUCUAAGAGCCCUCCUAGAGACCAUUCUACUGGAGGCCAUGUACGAGAUCCCUGACGAGAAAGCCGGAAAUGAGCGAGUAGAUGCUGUUGUGGUGGACGAGGAGGCCAUUGGUUCCGUUGACAGGCCUGGGUGCGGGGCUAAAAUUCUUCGGGGGGACGGCGCAUUGGCGCAGUACAUAAUAAGAAAUAACAUUCCGAAUUCACCGGAAACUAACGAGGCUUUGGCGGGGGAGCUCGAAGACGCGUACAUGCUGUCAAGAAUCGUUAGCUUGUGA
rnacentral:rRNA from 1 species